rnacentral:lncRNA from 1 species
CUUAUUUGUGAAUUAUUUAUGUUGCAAAGUUAUACGAAUAGAACUCCAGUUUCUUUAAAGUAAACUUCUUAAUCCAUUCUCUAAAAUUGUGAUAUCAUUUGAUGAUAUGAUAAAGAAUAUUUUGUAGCGGAGUUGUAGGAAAAUCUUACGGUCUACAAUCUAUUUUUAGCGAUGACUAGAAACAUGCGAACAGUUCACAUUCUUCUGAUAAUACUUUGGACAACAUGGUGAGAAGAUAUGCAAGAAAAUCGAUGAUGAUCUAACUUGAAAAUAUUAUUUUGGAAAUGAGAUCUUUUUAUAUUGAAGUACUAAAGUUUGGGGUCGAUGCGAUGAACAUUCAGUAAAUCAAAAUUGGUUGGUGAGUGAAGUUAAUUACUAUCUAUUAAAAAUUUUUAAUGUUGAAUCUAAAUAAUUUAUUGCAAAAGAUAACCGAGUUCUUUCAUAAAUUUAUAUGGUUGCAUUUUCAUUCAAAUGUUUUUUAUUUAUUGGGACUCCACACAUUUUUUCCAAAAUUGUCUAAAGUUACUUCUAGUUCAUUAAAUUCAAAAAUUAGAUUUCUUUCAAAAAUCCAAUUAGGCAUUAGUAGAAAAUGUUGUUUUACUUUAUGAACCAAUUACCGAAUUCAAUGCGUUUUUGAAAAUUAAUUAACAAUCUGUUUAAUAACCAGUCUAAUUUUAUUUAAAUUAUUCUUGAUAUAUUUUUAUAAAAUUAAAAUUACAACUAUAAAAUUCCCAAAGGAAACUGCUUAAGUAUUUAAUUUAUUAAUUCUUUACUUGUAUUAUAUUUAUAUGUAUUUUCACUGAUUUAUUUUAUUGUACAACGUUUCGCCGGCGCUAUUGGGUGCAUCUUCCGGCGUGCUUGAUGCACAUCGGGUGAUUCGCGAAUCGGUACGCGAAAUCCGUAUAAUUUUGAAAAUAAAUUCAUGUAAGUCUGACCACAUUAAUAUAUUGCUAAAUUUUGCAUUUUAUGUAAAAAUUAA